CUGAAACAAAUAGUGGAGAAACUGCACAAAGGGCAUGAGAUGGAAGGAGAGGCUGUGCUAAAGGCUGAGUUUCCCGGAGGAACCAGUAGCUCAUUGGCAGCCUCUGCUGCAGGAAGGGAGGCGAUGCCAGGCACAGUCACUGGAGACUGGGAUCGCAAAUUGGAUUAUUUGGAAGCCCUGCUGGAAAAUGGCUUGA